AUGCCGCCAGGUGUACGGCAGGGUAGCUACGUCUGGAAUAGAUAAGCGCUGAAAGCAUCUAAGUGCGAAACUAGCCACGAGAUGAGACUUCCUUAUAGGGUCGUUGGAGAUGACAACGUUGAUAGGCUAUAGGUGUAAAGGUUGAGAGACCAAAGCCGAGUAGUACUAAUAGCCCGAAGCUUUCUACAG
rfam:Sphingobacterium psychroaquaticum strain DSM 22418 genome assembly, contig: LY64DRAFT_scaffold00006.6